UACAGAGGGUGCAAGCGUUGUUCGGAAUCAUUGGGCGUAAAGCGUGCGUAGGCGGUUCGUUAAGUUCGUUGUGAAAGCCCCGGGCUCAACCUGGGAAUGGCAAUGGAAACUGGCGGGCUGGAGUAUGGCAGAGGGGGGUGGAAUUCCGCGUGUAGCAGUGAAAUGCGUAGAGAUGCGGAGGAACACCGAUGGCGAAGGCAGCCCCCUGGGCCAAUACUGACGCUCAGGCACGAAAGCGUGGGGAGCAAACAGG
rnacentral:rRNA from 1 species